rnacentral:rRNA from 1 species
CCCCUUAGUAGGGCACUAGCCCGUAGAAACUGCGGAUUAAUACCCUAUGUUAUUCGUCGAGGACACCUCUGAAAGUGAAUCAAAGGUUUACCGCUAAGGGGAUGGGGAUGCGUCUGAUUAGGCAGCAGGCGGGGUAACGGCCCACCUGGCCGACGAUCAGUAGGGGUUCUGAGAGGAAGGUCCCCCACAUUGGAACUGAGACACGGUCCAAACUCCUACGGGAGGCAGCAGUGAGGAAUAUUGGUCAAUGGUCGAGAGACUGAACCAGCCAAGUAGCCGUGCAGGAUGACGGCCCUAUGGGUUGUAAACUGGCUUUUAUGCGGGGAUAAAGUGAGGGACGUGUCCCUUUUUGUAGGUACCGCAUGAAUAAGGACCGGCUAAUUCCGUGCCAGCCGCUGC